rnacentral:rRNA from 1 species
GACGAACGCUGGCGGCGUGCUUAACACAUGCAAGUCGAACGGUUAUUUCCUGCUUUUUUGUUGUGCUCGAGUGGCGAACGGGUUAGUAACACGUGAGUAACCUGCCCUUUACUUUGGGCUAACUUCAGGAAACUGGGGCUAAUACCGGUUAUGAUCUCCUGCUGCAUGGUGUGGGUUGUAAAGUUUGGGCGGUUGGGGCUUGAGUCGCGGCUUAUUAGCUUGUUGGUGGGUUAGUGGCUUACCAAGGCUUUGACGGGUAGACGGCAUGAGAGGUUGACCGGCGACAUUGGGACUAAGAGAGGGAGCAGAAUCGAACGGGAGGCAGCAGUGGAGAAUAUGGCAGAAUGGGCGGAAGCCUGAGGAAGAGACGCCGCGAGCGGGAUGACGGCCUUCGGGUGGUAAACAGCUAUGGCAGGUGACGAAGCGUGAGUGACGGUAAUGAGUAAAGAAGCAACGGCUAACUACGUG